GUAUAUCUUUUUCCCCUUGUGCUGCAUCUCCUAAAUCAGUAAGGCCACAAUAUAUCAGAUGGCCAGAUGACAGUGUUCUAGAUUUUGCAUUGAUUUGGAACACCUAUCCAUUCAAAGAAUUGAUGGACACUACUUUCAACUCAAGGAUCACUCGCAGCCCUUUGAAAUAUAUCCGUUGUAGUCAUUGAUCACCUUUAAAUUUAAUGUUUGAACCACAACUAUGGUUUGUUGAGAGGAACAGCUACAUCAUCAGCUUACCUGAUUCAAGUUCUGGAUAUAAUGUUGGUGGAGAAGACAUAAAAUUUAGCGUAAUGGUCAGCCUUUUCCAGUGGAUACAGAAGAGAAGAAGCGGUCCAAGAUCCGGAAUGUGAUACCUUCUGCAGGAAGCCUCAGGACAAUUUUGUUUCCAUGCGACUCACUUUUAUGGCCUUAAGGAGCACGUGCUAGCCACUUGCCUCAUUGACGCACUUUCCAUGUCCGGCGACUCCGAUGAUGCCCACCAUCUCCUCAAUUGGCGGAAAGGCGGCCCUAAAACUGCCUCAAAUUCCGGCAACUUCUCUCUUGUUGCCACUGAGGUAAAUUCUUAUUCACCAUUGGAAUUCUCUGACGAUGUAGAAAUAACACAAUAGCUAUUCGGGGCACUAAAUUCAGAUUACUGUUCUUGUCCGUUGCUUAAUUGAACAAAUUAUUGAAAAAUCCUCCAAAGCAAUUGAGUGAUUGAGCGAAUGCGAAAGAGUUUCACCGCUUAGUUACUUAAGUUUAGCCAU